rnacentral:rRNA from 1 species
GACAGAGGGUGCAAACGUUGUUCGGAAUUACUGGGCGUAAAGCGCGUGUAGGCGGCCCUGCAAGUCGGAUGUGAAAUCCCACGGCUCAACCGUGGAAGUGCAUUCGAAACUGCAGGGCUAGAGUCCUGGAGAGGAAGGUGGAAUUCCUGGUGUAGCGGUGAAAUGCGCAGAUAUCAGGAAGAACACCCGUGGCGAAGGCGGCUCUCUGGGACGGUACUGACGCUGAGACGCGAAAGCGUGGGGAGCGAACAGG